UUGAUUUUAAGCGGACCGAACUUUUUUGGUGAGGUCUUGCGAAAAUUUAUAUUUAAAACAUCCUACUCGUAAAAAAAUUUAUGAAUCAUUAUAUAAUUUAAGA
rnacentral:misc_RNA from 1 species